AUGUAGGGAGAGGUCUAGAACUUGGUGAAUGCAUGAAAAANAGUGAGGCCANAGGUGAAAAGAAAAGAAAAAUGAUGUGAGAAAAAUNUGGUUGUGCUGAAAAGGAUGAACAAGUCUGAAAAUGAGAAAAAGAUCAGAAAAAGAAAUUGAAAAAGAGUCUUGAAAAGAAUGUCAGGGAAAGAGAACCANAGAAAAAGGAAAAAUUUGUAGGCUAGCCAAAGUUUGAGAAACUACUNCACUGAGUUCUAGUUUUCUCCCUUCUUUUUCACAUUUCUCUAGUCAUUU
rnacentral:lncRNA from 1 species